rnacentral:lncRNA from 1 species
GGAAAGUAUGCCUGAAUAAAAACCAGGUUCAUUUUGUAAUGAAAACGAAACAAAACAAAAAUGUUGCUUUGAGGUUACAGUGUCUGUUUUAAACAUCGUUGUUUAUCAAAUAACUCUUCUUCAAGGUCUGAUUCACAUCUGUCUCUUAAAAAAAUUCAUAAUGAUAGAGUCAUGAGUCUCCUAUUAUCUGGCUAUCUUUCCUUACCUAACUGUUCUCAUCUGCCACGAAGCUCCAAUUCUAGCCAGGUAAGCCUGCCCAUUGCUCUGUCUUUGCUUCUGCUCCUGUCCCCUUGUGCUUUGCUAUGGCAAAGAUAGAUAAUGUUCGUUCCAUAGUGUAGGGUUGUUGCUGAGAAGCUCUGCCCAGCCAGGGCCCUCAUUUUCCAGUCCUGCCCUCCCCUGCAUCCGGGUAGGACUAUGUAACUAGUUAUUGCCCGUGGAUUAUGAGCUGAGCUGAUGCGUAUCAUGCCUUGGCCAAGUGGUUAAGAAGUGGUGGAACAUACCCUUUCUUUUCUCUUUUCCCAUCUGCCCACUGGAUGUUGACACACCAGAUGAUCAUGGAAGCCACAUGUGGAAGGUGGUGGAGACUCCCAGCCUACGGCUCUGCAUGAAGCUAUGGAGCAAUCUUCCUUCACCCACACAGCCUACCUUCCACUCUUGCCACCAAGCAGGAACAUCUGUUUUGGAUUUCAUGAUCGUGUCAUUUAGAAGGACCCAGAACUGGAUACCAAUUGUUGUUCUACAUGGCAAUUAUAAAUAGACAAGAAUACCAUCUUCACUCAGACAGCAGUUUGAAGAAAAGGCUGAGCACAGCUCCCUCUGACUUGUUGGUGAACGUUAUCUGGAUAUUUUUGAGAACACGUGCACAUGUUGACUCAGAAAGACCAAACUGACUGUACAUCCAUGAUCCUCGGGGAGCGAAUUGUUCUUAAAAUAAUGUGAAAUACGAAGCAUGCAAGAGGUGAAGAAAGCAGUGAAAAAUACCAUCUGCAAAAUAAGAAUCUUGAAUUGUUGUCUUGUUUAUACUUAAGCCUUCAAUAAAUUACUUAAUUAGCUUCUUCUUGACCCAUUUCUCUCUUAUUUAGUCUGCUUUAAACAAAAAGUCCUGGUAUUUUAGAUAGCACAGUUUAAUACACAUAAAAACACUUUAGCCUAAUGGUUCUUUUAAUGAAAUAUAUGUGAAAACAUCAUCUUAAUAUCAGACUUUAACAUUUGUCCAAUUUUAUUAAUCUCUGUAACUUGUGGAAUAUUUUUCAAUGAUCUGAUUUAAAACAAAAAUAUUGACUGGAAAAAUGAGGAAAAGCAUUUGAGUCUUUCUUUAUCAAAGAAUCAUUUAUUUAUUUAUUUAUUUAUUUAUUUAUUUAUCCCUGGU